UACGAAGGGGGCUAGCGUUGCUCGGAAUCACUGGGCGUAAAGGGCGCGUAGGCGGGCUCUUAAGUCAGGGGUGAAAGCCCAAGGCUCAACCUUGGAAUUGCCUUUGAUACUGAGGGCCUUGAGACCGGAAGAGGUCGGCGGAACUGCGAGUGUAGAGGUGAAAUUCGUAGAUAUUCGCAAGAACACCAGUGGCGAAGGCGGCCGACUGGUCCG
rnacentral:rRNA from 1 species